CCUACGGGUGGCAGCAGUAGGGAAUAUUGCUCAAUGGGCGAAACCCUGAAGCAGCAACGCCGCGUGGAGGAUGACGGUUUUCGGAUUGUUAACUCCUUUUGUUAAAGAAGAUAAUGACGGUAUCUAACGAAUAAGCACCGGCUAACUCCGGGCCAGCAGCCGCGGUAAUACGGAGGGUGCAAGCGUUACUCGGAAUCUAUGGGCGUAAAGGGCGCGUAGGCGGGUUAGCAAGUCAGAUGUGAAAUCCUAUGGCUUAAACAUGGAACUGCAUUUGAAACUGUUAUUCUAGAGUAUGGGAGAGGUAGGUGGAAUUAUUGGUGUAGGGGUAAAAUCCGUAGAGAUCAAGAAGAAUACUCAUUGCGAAGGCGACCUGCUAGAACAUAACUGACGCUGAUGCGCGAAAGCGUGGGGAGCAAACAGGAUUAGAUACCCGUGUAGUC
rnacentral:rRNA from 1 species